GUGUCAGCCGCCGCGGUAAUACAGAGGGUGCGAGCGUUAAUCGGAAUUACUGGGCGUAAAGCGCGCGUAGGUGGUUUUGUAAGUCGGGUGUGAAAGCCCCAGGCUCAACCUGGGAACUGCACUCGAGACUGCAUGACUGGAGUAUGGGAGAGGGCAGUGGAAUUUCCGGUGUAGCGGUGAAAUGCGUAGAUAUCGGAAGGAACAUCAGUGGCGAAAGCGACUGCCUGGACCAAUACUGACGCUCAUGUGCGAAAGCGUGGGGAGCAAACAGGAUUAGAAACCCGCGUAGUCC
rnacentral:rRNA from 1 species